AGUAACGCGUGAGGAACCUGCCUUCCAGAGGGGGACAACAGUUGGAAACGACUGCUAAUACCGCAUGAUGCGUUGGAGCCGCAUGACUCUGACGCCAAAGAUUUAUCGCUGGAAGAUGGCCUCGCGUCUGAUUAGCUAGUUGGUGAGGUAACGGCCCACCAAGGCGACGAUCAGUAGCCGGACUGAGAGGUUGGCCGGCCACAUUGGGACUGAGAUACGGCCCAGACUCCUACGGAAGGCAGCAG
rnacentral:rRNA from 1 species